AUGUAUUUAACGUACUUUUCCAAUGUGUGGGUGUGUUUGUGUUGUUCAGAGGUGGCACCGGCGCAGGCGGUAGACUGCAGGACAGCGAGCACCCGGUUCAACGGCAUAUGCAUCCUGGACACCAGUUGCGCCAACAUGUGCAUCACCGAGGGGUUCCUGGCUGGCGGGGAGUGUGAAGGCCUCCACAGGCGCUGCAUGUGCAGAACACCAUGCUAG
rnacentral:rRNA from 1 species